GUAUCAGCCUCGUGGUGGCCUGGCCUCCUGCACUUCUCCACAGAAAGCAAGACUCCGAAGGCCUUUUAGAAAGCUAGCCCGGCUCCAGACAAGGAGGCAAUAAAGAAUUUGGACUUUAACUCCUGGCUAUUCUUAUGGUGAUUACUUGGCUGAAAAGAAGGCUGCCCCAGAGACCCCCAGGAAACCAAACUAGAACGUUACAAGUUUCCUAACUGCAAAAUGGAGAUAAAAUAGCAAGUACCUCCCAGGUUUAUUGUGUGAAACAAAUAAGACUGUAUUUGCAAAAUGUUUAAUAGAAUUUCUAGAACAUAGUAGAUGCUUAAUAAUUCCCUCCCCGCAAUUUUCUCCCUCUCCUCAACUUCCUCUCCCUCCCUUCUCUCCCUCCUUCCUUCCCUCCCUUUCUCCCUCCCUCCCUCCCUCCCUCCCUCCUUCCUUCCUUCCUUCCUUCCUUCCUUCCUUCCUUCCUUCCUUCCUUCCUUCCUUCCUUCCUUCCUUCCUUCCUUCCUUCCUUCCUCCCUCUCUCUCUUCCUUCCUUCCUUCUUUUUUUCCCCUCUGUUUUUCCUCUUCAUUUCCAAACUACUCUGAAAAAUGCAGGAAUAUUGGUAGGAUGUUUUUGAAAUCUGCAUAGGAAAGGGCCAAGAUAAAACCACCAGUAUUAAUCUAGUAGGCAAUGAAAUCUAUUUCUGACGUGAUGAUUACCCUCUUGGACUAUGUGGCCAGCUCCUAGGAUUAGCCACCCAACCACAAGGGUAAUUUCACCACAGUGUGGAUUAUGGAAAGGUGGAAAGAAUUUAAUAUUUGGAUCAGACCUGAGGGAGAGAUCCAGUCAUCUGAUGGGAGAAAAGGAGAAAGCAAGCCAGAAAGGAUUAUGGAGAAGGACCAGGAUAUGAGAGAGUAUGUAUCUACUGAUCAAGAAGAGAAAAAGGAUCAAGAAAACUAAGGAAGAAAAACAAUUUCAAGAAGGAGGUAAGGAGUCUUGAAAAAACUAGAGAUAACAAUAAUAAGAAGAAAAACAAUUUUGAGAGAUCUAUUACUCAGAUCAAAGUGGGAAACAGCAGUGACUUCAAAAGAUGGAUGAUGAAACAUACCUUCCACCUCUUGACAGAGAGGCGAUGCGCUGGAGAUGUGCAAUGAGACCUGAGUACUCAGAAGUGGAUAAUGUGCUGAUUUGUUUUGUUGGACUAUAUAUGUUUGCUUUGCUGGUGUUGAAUGUGGGAAAGAAAUUGGUUUAGUGAAAUUCAAAGAAGAACAGUAAUAAAACAUUUAAAAAGGCAGAUAAAUGAAAAAUGCAUAAAGAGUUGUAAACUAAUUGAGCACUUUUGUUACAACAGAUAUAGAUCAUAUAUAUGUAUAUAUACACAUAUCUUGAAAAAUAAACUAUUCAACAA
rnacentral:lncRNA from 1 species